GCCUCGGGGGCUAUACAUGCAAGUCGAACGCGAUUAAGGGGCUUGCUCCUUAUGAAAGUGGCGCACGGGUGCGUAACGCGUAUGCAACCUACCUUUAUCAGGGGGAUAGCCCGGAGAAAUCCGGAUUAAUACCGCAUAAAAUCACAGGAUAGCAUUUUCCAAUGAUCAAACAUUUAUGGGAUAAAGAUGGGCAUGCGUGUCAUUAGCUAGUUGGCGGGGUAACGGCCCACCAAGGCGACGAUGACUAGGGGAUCUGAGAGGAUGGCCCCCCACACUGGUACUGAGACACGGACCAGACUCCUACGGGAGGCAGCAGUAAGGAAUAUUGGUCAAUGGAGGGAACUCUGAACCAGCCAUGCCGCGUGCAGGAAGACUGCCCUAUGGGUUGUAAACUGCUUUUAUCCGGGAAUAAACCUACUUACGUGUAAGUAGCUGAAUGUACCGGAAGAAUAAGGAUCGGCUAACUCCGUGCCAGCAGCCGCGGUAAUACGGAGGAUCCAAGCGUUAUCCGGAUUUAUUGGGUUUAAAGGGUGCGUAGGCGGCCUGUUAAGUCAGGGGUGAAAGACGGUAGCUCAACUAUCGCAGUGCCCUUGAUACUGAUGGGCUUGAAUGGACUAGAGGUAGGCGGAAUGAGACAAGUAGCGGUGAAAUGCAUAGAUAUGUCUCAGAACACCGAUUGCGAAGGCAGCUUACUAUGGUCUUAUUGACGCUGAGGCACGAAAGCGUGGGGAUCAAACAGGAUUAGAUACCCUGGUAGUCCACGCCCUAAACGAUGAACACUCGCUGUUGGCGAUACACAGUCAGCGGCUAAGCGAAAGCGUUAAGUGUUCCACCUGGGGAGUACGCCCGCAAGGGUGAAACUCAAAGGAAAUUGACGGGGGCCCGCACAAGCUGAAGGAGCAUGUGGGUUUAAUUCGAUUGAUACGCGAGGAAACCUUACCCGGGCUUGAAAAGUAGUGGACGAUACUAUGAGAUAGUUAUCCUUGAGCCAUCCAACAAAACUAGGUGCUUGUAUGUGCUUGUCGCCACCCUCCGUGCCCUGAAGAU
rnacentral:rRNA from 1 species